ACUCAAAUUCUUUGCGUUAAGCUAAUAAUAUUUUAAUUAUUCAGAUAUGCAUUUAAAUUCAAAUAUUUAAAUCUUAAUAAAAAUAAAUGACAUCCAAAUAAAAAUUGCUACAGAGGCCUACCGCUGAAUUCAGACUUUUAAAAAUACAUGGUGCGCACCCGGGGACUAUACAGGAUGCUAAAACGAAGAUCCGACCCUUGGAUCAUCCCAAGGGUCAAAAUGCAAAAUGGAUAAACAACAAUUAUAUUCCAGCUUCACCAAAAAAAGAUCCCCAAACUGAUUACAAUUAUAAAGUCUCUCUUACGCGUAAAAUCGCAAUUUCACCUCUCCAUCUCAUGCUCUUUACAUCGAGAAAGUGCGUGUCCGCUCCGUGUUAUCGCCCGCACCUCUCCUCUCAUUGAGGGAGCUCGACUCUUACAUUGCCGGCGAUUCACUAUUUCGAUCAUAUAACGAAAACGACAAUUGCUUCAACACGCGUAUUUGCUCCGAUCGAUUCGACGGCUGCUAUCAUUCAUUUUUCUUAUAUUGAACUGUGGUCGGCUGCCAAAGAUUAGCUGUUAUUAAGUUAUGGCGCUUGACAGCAUAAUAACUUCACCUCAUCGGAGGUCACAGACACAGACAGCAUUUUCAUCUACCGAUCAAAAGAAGAGUCAAUACUCCCGUAGUAAUGAGCUUGGAAGCUGUUCAACAGUACUUCAGCGCCACCAGUUCCUUCUAACUGCGCUUGGCCUCCUAGCUUUUCUCUGCACUAUCUAUCUUUACUUUGCAGUCACUCUAGGGGCUGGUGACUCCUGUUCUGACUUGACAGGGACUCAAAAAGCAGCAUGUUAUGUGGAACGCGGGAAAGCACACAUGGGCAAAGGAAAACUCAAGUUCUUCUAGCAAAUUGAUGGCUGCUGGCUAAUAUUUUAGUAUAUUAUAUUUCUUUUUCUUCUGAGAGGCAGAAAGUGCUACCAAAAGUGUUUCCUUAGGUUCUUUGGGUCUAUUGGGUGAUCAUUUGUUUGAUUGUAUUCUUAAAGAUGUAUAAUUUGAUUCUGGUGAA